rnacentral:rRNA from 1 species
GACGACGCUAGCGGCGUGCCUAAGAAAUGCAAGUCGAGCGGAGUUAGAGAGCUUGCUCUCGAAGCUUAGCGGCGAACGGUCGCGUAACACGUAAGGAACCUGCCCUAAAGUGUGGGAUAGCCCUCCGAAAGGGGGAUUAAUACCUCAUGUGGACAAUUUCUCGCAUGUGAGAUUGUCUAAAGCAGCAAUGCGCUUUAGGAUGGCCUUGCGGCCUAUCAGCUAGUUGGUGGGGUAAUAGCCUACCAAGGCGACGACGGGUAGCUGGUCUGAGAGGAUGAUCAGCCGGACUGGGACUGAGAUACGGCCCAGACUCCUACGGGGGGCAGCAAUUAGGAAUCUUGCGCAAUGGGCGAAAGCCUGACGCAGCGACGCCGCGUGACUGAUGAAGUCUUUCGGGAUGUAAAGGUCUUUCUGGGGGAAGAAGGAUGUGACGGUACCCCAGGAAUAAGCCCCGGCUAACUACGUG